GAUGAACGCUAGCGGCAGGCCUAACACAUGCAAGUCGAGGGGCAUCGGGAUUGAAGCUUGCUUCAAUUGCCGGCGACCGGCGCACGGGUGCGUAACGCGUAUGUAACCUACCUAUAACAGGGGCAUAACACUGAGAAAUUGGUACUAAUUCCCCAUAAUAUUCGGAGAGGCAUCUCUCCGGGUUGAAAACUCCGGUGGUUAUAGAUGGACAUGCGUUGUAUUAGCUAGUUGGUGAGGUAACGGCUCACCAAGGCAACGAUACAUAGGGGGACUGAGAGGUUAACCCCCCACACUGGUACUGAGACACGGACCAGACUCCUACGGGAGGCAGCAGUGAGGAAUAUUGGUCAAUGGACGCAAGUCUGAACCAGCCAUGCCGCGUGCAGGAAGACGGCUCUAUGAGUUGUAAACUGCUUUUGUACGAGGGUAAACUCACCUACGUGUAGGUGACUGAAAGUAUCGUACGAAUAAGGAUCGGCUAACUCCGUGCCAGCAGCCGCGGUAAUACGGAGGAUUCAAGCGUUAUCCGGAUUUAUUGGGUUUAAAGGGUGCGUAGGCGGUUUGAUAAGUUAGAGGUGAAAUCCCGGGGCUUAACUCCGGAACUGCCUCUAAUACUGUUAGACUAGAGAGUAGUUGCGGUAGGCGGAAUGUAUGGUGUAGCGGUGAAAUGCUUAGAGAUCAUACAGAACACCGAUUGCGAAGGCAGCUUACCAAACUAUAUCUGACGUUGAGGCACGAAAGCGUGGGGAGCAAACAGG
rnacentral:rRNA from 1 species